GGAGUCGGACCUGCCCAGUGAAAAUUUUUAACGGCCGCGGUACUCUGACCGUGCAAAGGUAGCAUAAUCAUUUGCCUUAUAAUUGAAGGCUAGUAUGAAUGGUUUGACAAGAAUAUAACUGUCUCUCUGCGGUUUCUUAGAAUUUUAUUUAUAGGUGAAGAAGCCUAUAUUCAAUUAAUAGACAAGAAGACCCUAUCGAGCUUGAAAGAAAUUGGUGAAGUAAAAUAAACAGAUAGAUAACUAAAAUGUAGGUCACUAAAUAUUUUAGUUGGGGCGACUGAGGAACAAAAAAAGCUUCCUUUACAAGUAUAUAAAGCCAAACAAGCUUUGAUCCAAAAAAUUUUGAUUAAAGAAAUUAGUUACCGUAGGGAUAACAGCAUAAUCCUUUUUGAGAGCUCCCAUCGAAAAAGGGGUUUGUGACCUCGAUGUUGGACCAGAAUAUCCUAAAGAUGUAGCAGUCUUUAAGGG
rnacentral:rRNA from 1 species